rnacentral:rRNA from 1 species
AGCGAACGUUAGCGGCGGGCCUAACACAUGCAAGUCGAGCGAGAAAGGGGCUUCGGCCCUGAGUAAAGCGGCGGACGGGUGAGUAACACGUAGGUAAUCUUCCCUUGAGCGGGGGACAACGGUCCGAAAGGACCGCUAAUACCGCAUACGUUUCCGAGGACCCUGGUCCUUGGAAGGAAAGCUAGGCCGCAAGGUCCGGCACUCGAGGAGGAGCCUGCGUCGCAUCAGCUAGUUGGUGGGGGAAUGGCCUACCAAGGCGAAGACGCGUAGCUGGUCUGAGAGGAUGAUCAGCCACACUGGGACUGAGACACGGCCCAGACUCCUACGGGAGGCAGCAGUGGGGAAUAUUGGACAAUGGGCGCAAGCCUGAUCCAGCCACGCCGCGUGAGUGAUGAAGGCCUUCGGGUCGUAAAGCUCUGUGGGGAGGGACGAAUCGCUGCACGUGCAUAGCGUGCAGCAUGACGGUACCUCCUUAGCAAGCACCGGCUAACUUCGUGCCAGCAGCCGCAGUAAAAC